UACAGAGGGUGCGAGCGUUAAUCGGAAUUACUGGGCGUAAAGCGCACGUAGGUGGCGACGUAAGUCGGGUGUGAAAGCCCCGGGCUUAACCUGGGAAUUGCAUUCGAGACUGCAUUGCUGGAGUACGGAAGAGGAAGGCGGAAUUCCCGGUGUAGCGGUGAAAUGCGUAGAUAUCGGGAGGAACAUCAGUGGCGAAGGCGGCCUUCUGGUCCAGUACUGACACUCAAGUGCGAAAGCGUGGGGAGCAAACAGG
rnacentral:rRNA from 1 species